rfam:Anolis carolinensis chromosome 2, whole genome shotgun sequence.
UAACUGGCUUCUCUCGAAGCCAUUUCAAAUGAAAUUAUGUUUUUG